UAACGGUCGAAUGCUUAAAGAAAGAAUUCGAGAUGAAAGACUUAGGGAAAACUAAGUUCUGUUUGGGAUUGCAAUUUGAGUAUGUAGAGAAAGGAAUCCUUGUGCAUCAAAAAACUUAUAAAGAAAAGAUACUCAAGAAGUUUAAUAUGGACCAGGCUUAUCCCUUGUCGAGUCCUAUGGUCAUGAGGUCAUUAGACCUAGAGAGAGAUCCAUUCGGGCCAAAGAAGCCGGACGAGGAGACACUCGGGCCAGAAGUGCCUUACCUAAGUGUCAUUGGAGCCUUAACAUAUUUGGCUAGUCAUACUAGACCGGACAUCAGCUUUGCCGUGAGUUUACUGUCUAGAUUCAGUUCAUGUCCGACUCUUAUGCACUGGAAUGGAAUAAAGCAUCUGUUCAGAUAUCUGCAAGGAACAAAAGACCUCGUAUUGUUCUAUACCGGCCGGCCAGGAGAGAGUUUGGCCGGAUAUGCAGAUGCUGGGUACUUAUCUGACCCACACCAUUCUAGAUCUCAGACCGGAUAUGUGUUUAUGCACAGUGGGGCUGCAGUAUGUUGGCAGUCCACGAAAUAAUCCUUAGUGGCCACAUCCUCUUAUCAUGCCGAGAUAAUAGCCAUGUACGAAGCAAGCCGAGAGCUUGUCUGGUUGAGGAACAUGACCAGCCACGUCCUGAAAGAGAGUGGUCUGGCCAUGGGAAAAAAAAAGAAGAUCCAACGAUCAUCUAUGAGGACAAUGCAGCUUGCAUAGCUCAGCUCAAAGAUGGAUACAUCAAGGGAGAUAGAACAAAGCACAUCCUGCCCAACUUCUUCUUCACCCACGACCUGCAGAAGGCUAAAGAAGUUCAAGCGGUUCAAGUUCGGUCCAGUGACAAUUCAGCGGACCUCUUCACCAAGUCUCUGUCAACCUCAACGUUCAAGAAGCUGGUUCAUCAGCUGGAAUGCGCCAGCUGAAGGAUCUUCAGUGAUGCCUUCAUCAGGGGGAGUGUCGUGCAGUGUACUAUUUUUCCUGUGUACGGUUCCAUUUUUCCCACCUUGGGUUUUUGGUUUUCCUAGAGAGGUUUUAAUGAGGCAACCUCGUGCAUGAUACAAACCCAUAUGGUUAUAGAAUUCAAGGGGGAGUGUUAUAAAUCAUGGAGUGGAUUGCUAUUACCAAGACCAAGAGAGAAGGCCCAUCAGGCCACGACCAAGCCCAGCCGCGGCCGCGUCCGAGGAAAGAGAGAGUCGGCCACUCUUUGGCCGACCUUAGUUAUAGGAUGUUUUCCUUUUCUAUCUUUUAGUAGUUUUCCUAUUUCCUCUUGGAUUAGGAUUUGUACUCUUUCCUUUUAUCAUCGUGAUGGGGAUAGAUCAUUGCAAUUGUUGGUCUUCAACAAGGAAUUCCUAGUAAGCGCGAGUCAUCAGCUCGCGUUGACUACGUCCCUGCCCAUUUUACAAACCACCCGUCGCUCCUACCGAUUGAGUGAUUCGGUGAAGUGUUCGGAUCGCGGCGACGUGGGUGGUUCGCCGCCUGCGCCGUCGCGAGAAGUCCACUAAACCUUAUCAUUUAUAGGAAGGAGAAGUCGUAACAAGGUUUCCGUAGGUGAACUUGCAGAAGGAUCAUUG
rnacentral:ncRNA from 1 species